GACGUAGGGUGCAAGCGUUGUCCGGAUUUAUUGGGCGUAAAGAGCUCGUAGGCGGCUCGUCGCGUCGACCGUGAAAACCUGCAGCUUAACUGUGGGCGUGCGGUCGAUACGGGCAUCACUGGAGUUCGGCAGGGGAGACUGGAAUUCCUGGUGUAGCGGUGAAAUGCGCAGAUAUCAGGAGGAACACCGGUGGCGAAGGCGGCCUGCUGGGCAGUGGCUGACGCUGAGGCGCGACAGCGUGGGGAGCAAACAGG
rnacentral:rRNA from 1 species